rnacentral:hammerhead_ribozyme from 1 species
AUCUAGCUGACGAGUCCCAAAUAGGACGAAACGUGCGUCCUGUAU